GGAGGGGCUGACCCCCGGAGGGGGGUGGAUCAGGCCACCAACAAGACCCCGAGCCAGGACGACUCAGGGAUGCCCUCCCCUGCUCAGCGGGGGCAAGAGGCGGGUCUUCUGGUCCUCAGGCAGUGGCGUGGACAAGGAUCCCGCCCUCAGGGCAGAGAGACCAAGUCCAGGGGUCGGGGGUCGGGUCCUAGGCACUCUGCUGUCUCUGUGUCCUUCCUCCCCGCGUCGAGGCAUGCCAGCGAGGAUCCCGCAGAUCUGGGCUAGCGGCUUCGCUUUGUACUGUCUGACCACCACCCCUCCGGAUCCAUGGCGCGAAUUUCCUAGCGCUCUCAUCUGCGAAGGCCCCGGGGAUCUGAAGUUCUACCCGCAGAAUCCCGGGUCUCUCCGUCCCCCCAAAAAAGGUGCCGGGGUCCUUCCCACAAGGGUCCCUCUGUCCCCUCCCCGCGACGCGGAGUGAAGGACGCUUCUCCCCAGCAGGAAAAAGCCGCAGGGACCAGCUCUCCUGUGCUGGGUACUAUAGUGGGGAGACACCUUCCCGGCUUGCCCCCACCUGAAGCCAACAGAAUCUGGUCACUUGGGGACGCCCAAGACUCGGGCGCAGGGACGGUCGCCCCCAAAACAAGCGCCGUACCUUAAACCAAAGAGCCAGAACAAAGACGACGGGUGCGGUCCUUGGUGACUCUGCCGCGCGCUCCUCACCGCAGGGGAAGGGACCUGGGGGAAGUUCCCCCCGAUAACACAAAGGGGAGGGUGAGAUUGGGCUCGGUCCGGAGUCCGCGGGCCAUUCCAGAAAUGCACACGCAGGGAAGCUUCCAUCCGCCGCCCGAUGGAGCGGGGAGCGGCG
rnacentral:lncRNA from 1 species